UACGAAGGGGGCUAGCGUUGCUCGGAAUCACUGGGCGUAAAGGGUGCGUAGGCGGGUCUUUAAGUCCGGGGUGAAAUCCUGGAGCUCAACUCCAGAACUGCCUUUGAUACUGAGGAUCUUGAGUUCGGGAGAGGUGAGUGGAACUGCGAGUGUAGAGGUGAAAUUCGUAGAUAUUCGCAAGAACACCAGUGGCGAAGGCGGUUCUCUGGGACGGUACUGACGCUGAGACGCGAAAGCGUGGGGAGCGAACAGG
rnacentral:rRNA from 1 species